rnacentral:rRNA from 1 species
GACGAACGCUGGCGGCGUGCCUAAUACAUGCAAGUCGAGCGAGGUUGUUGGAAGUGCUUGCACUUUCAACAACCUAGCGGCGGACGGGUGAGUAACACGUGGGCAACCUGCCCUGUAGAUUGGGAUAACUUCGGGAAACCGGAGCUAAUACCGAAUAAUUCGUUUAACCUCAUGGUUAAACGCUGAAAGGCGCUUCGGCGUCACUACAGGAUGGGCCCGCGGUGCAUUAGCUAGUUGGUGAGGUAACGGCUCACCAAGGCAACGAUGCAUAGCCGACCUGAGAGGGUGAUCGGCCACAUUGGGACUGAGACACGGCCCAAACUCCUACGGGAGGCAGCAGUAGGGAAUCUUCCACAAUGGACGAAAGUCUGAUGGAGCAACGCCGCGUGAGUGAUGAAGGUUUUCGGAUCGUAAAACUCUGUUGUAAGGGAAGAACAAGUGCGUUAGGUAAUGAACGCACCCUGACGGUACCUUAUUAGAAAGCCACGGCUAACUACGUGCCAGCCGCCGCCGUAA